rnacentral:rRNA from 1 species
UACGUAGGGGGGCGAGCGUUUGUCCGGAUUUAUUGGGGCGUAAAGAGCUCGUAGGCGGUUUUGGUAAGUCGGAUGUGAAAUCUCCAGGCUCAACCUGGAGGGGUCAUUCGAGACUGCUAUGACUAGAGUUCGGUAGAGGAGUGUGGAAUUCCUGGUGGAGCGGUGAAAUGCGUAGAUAUCGUAAGGAAGACCAGUGGCGAAGGCGGGUCUCUGGACAGUUCCUGACGCUGAGGCACGAAGGUCAGGGGGAGCAAACGGG